CUCCGAAUAUAUUAGACUUCACACCUCGGAUCUGCGAGAGUUGACUUCUGUCUGGUGAAAUGCGCGACGACCUGUCGUCUGCCGAGAAUUGUCAUUUCGAGUUAUAUACUGAGAGGAAGAAUAUCUAAGGAAUAGUAAAUAUUUUGAUAUUCCUUCCGUCAGGAUAUAAGAAAAGUUGAAACGGAGACUUCAGUGAAGGUCGUCCGAAUCAACGUGAACACUCGAGGAUCUCGUGAAACACAUCGAGCACUCGAGAUGACUCGGAAUUGCUUGCCAAUCGCGCUGCUCUUAAUAUGCUGCGUUACGUUGCACACUCAUGCCUGGAACAAUCGCGGCAGACACAGAAUCGCAAACAGGAGACGGCUAUGGCAGACGAACGACAACGGUUCCGUCGCGAUUUGGCCGCAAGGAACGACGAGGCACAUGUGGGAAUCGUCGCAAUUUCCGAACAAUAAUCAGACCCAAGUUCCCAGACAAAAAAGACUCUUUUCGUUGUUCACGCUGGUGAAGUUUGACAACGGCAUCUGCGGCGGAUUAAACGGAGAGAAUGGCACGUGCGUCGCAGCGACGGAGUGCGCCCAACGCGGCGGCCUCUCCAGCGGCGUCUGUGCGAACGGUUAUGGAGUAUGCUGUAUAGUGACGAUGUCCUGCGGUGCGAUGAUCAACGACAACAACACGUAUUUCGUCAAUCCGAACUAUCCGUCUACCUACGACGGCAUGGAUUCCUGUCAGAUCACAUUAGUGAAGUCGCAUCCGGAUGUAUGCCAGUAUCGAUUAGACUUCACGCAAUUUAAUAUCAUGGGUCCGGAGACGACAAACAAUGUCUGCACUUUUGAUCAAUUCAUCGUUUCCGGCGGCAAUCCGGUGCCAACGAUAUGCGGCAACAAUAACGGGAAUCACAUGUACAUAGACACGGGUGUCGGGCAAACGAAUCCAGUUACUUUGACGUUCGUCACGAGCAGCAGCUCGUUUCCACGAUCGUGGAAGGUCCGUAUCUCGCAGAUACGAUGUAGCACGAUUUAUCGCGCCGAGGAGGGCUGUCUCCAGUAUUUCACUGGGGUUUCCGGCCAGAUAAAAUCCUUCAACUACGACCCCACGACCGGAUUGCAGUUGUCGAAUCAGGACUACAGCAUAUGCAUCCGCAUGGAGAGGAACUUCUGCGGGAUCCAAUACAUGGCGUGUGUCGACGACGCUCAAAUGAUGAUGCCCGCCGGCGUGGCGAGCGUGGGACAAAUAAUGCGUAACAACGCGUUCACGUUGACCGGGAACACGCAGGCCACGCAGAUCGCGUCGAUGACGGGAGCGUCUUGCUUGACCGAUUGGAUAGCGAUACCGUGCGCCAUGAAUUCGGGCAGGAUGCCAACGGCGCCGUUGAUAUGCUCCGAUCGGCUUUGUGGAGGUACCUUCAACGCGGAAGCUCAGAAUUUGAACAGCUCAUCUGUAAUCAGCACCGUCAAGCCGUUCCGACUGAUCUUCCACACGGACAACAUCGAGGCGCCCGGCGACGUUGGGAACAGAGGUUUUUGCCUCAACUACGUGCAACAACCUUGCACGACGAAGUUGAGAUGAAAGCGCUUGUCUUAGAGCAGUAGUCGUCGAGUACAAUGGAAGAGAAUCGAAACAAGACGUAUGGAGGAUUUAAUCGCUACCUUGGACAAGAAAAUGGAUACUCAUAGAAAGGGACUUGAGAAGAUACAGCAGAAAAUGGAUACUCAUAGAAAGGGACUUGAGAAGAUACAGCAGACAUUUCAGCAAGCUCAGAUGAAAGCGUCGCUUUCCCAACAGAAAGCAUGACAUCACAGUCGCAAUAGCUUUGUGAGAUUAUAUUCAAUCGUGUAAUUAACAUUUAAAUGUCAACAUACUUGUUGAAAUGUAAUUAACGUUUAAAGUCAACAACGUCCCUCGCUAUAUGAGCAAUGUAAAUUUUCUGUUUUAUUUAUUUUAUACUACGCAAUGUUUAUUAAUAAUGAGUUACCCAGCUAUAUGUGUCACAAUAACUCAAACGCAAUUUAUUUAAAUUGAAUCUAUUUAAGUUUGUUUUAAUAACAACACUUUUAUUAGUACAGAAAAAAAGAUUAAUAUUAUAGAGUAUGCAAAAAGAAAAAGAAAACCAUUGAUGAGACAACAGCUGCAACACUGAAACUGCAAGUGUUGAUUUACUUGAGUGCAAGAAGAUUUUAAUCUAGAAAAACAAAUUGUCAUUAUUUGAAACUUAUCUCACAUAAGGUUUUCAGAUCUAAUCUAAAGUUAGAUUUCAAUUGUUUAUUUGAAUCAUAAAAUAUGUAACAUGUAUAUAUUGAUAUACUGAAAAACUGACAUCUAACUCUAAAUAUAAAUCUAAGACCUUUGUACAUUAAUAGUUGUUAUCUGAAACAAUGCUUCAUAUGAGAUAUACAGAUUUUUAUUUAGAGUUAAAUCAAAGUACUUCAGUUCAAUUAUGAUUCAUAUGACAUUUAUAUCUGGAAUCGUAAUUCGUCUAAAAAUCUAACUCAGAAUUCAUCUGAGUAUUUCAGUUAAGAUGAGUUUCAAGUAAUAACUAUUAAUACAAUCCUAUAAGGCUACUAUUGAAUUUUAUUGGGUCUACUCAUACUGCAACCACUCAAUGAGCUUUUGAAUCUGGUCGAUAUACUUUUAGAUUUCAUCAAAAUUUAAAUACAAACCACAAGCUACAAAUUAGAAUUAGCAGUUGUAGCACUGGAUACAUUUAUAAUUAUAAUUAGUCAUAAAAUUUUUUGUUGAAAAUGAAUGGAGCAAAUAACAUCCAGUCUAUUUUUUUUGUUACGAUAUUUUUUGAUGCAAUAAGAUGCUGGCAUUUUACGACAGUAAUUUAAUGGCCACGUUGACUCACAUUGUACGUUUAGUACUCACAUUAGUACUCACAUAAGUGGCACGUCACACACACAGGACCACCGCCAUUUUCUCGCAUACAACCGGAAACCUCAUGCGACGCAAGUUCGAAGCCUCAGUUAGCAAUCUAGUUUAGUAUAGACAUCUGUGUUUGACAGAUACACACGCAUGUAUCAAAACGACUCCGCAAAAUUCAUGGACUUGCUACUUCAACAAUGUCAUUAAUCCGUAGAAAUUAAAAUUGUUACUUAGAGAUUUUUGUUAAUACCAUCAUUUUCCCAUCUAGUUUUCGGGAAAAUGUCGUGUAACCGUUCCAAAGUCUCCGCUACGAGCCGCCACUUUCUUUGACGAGGAACUGAGCAAUCCAUUCGUCCACCCAUUCUCGCACUUCUUCAACAUUUCGGAAGCGUGUACCACUCAAG